UACGGGGGGGGCAAGCGUUGUUCGGAAUUACUGGGCGUAAAGGGCUCGUAGGUGGCCAACUAAGUCAGACGUGAAAUCCCUCGGCUUAACCGGGGAACUGCGUCUGAUACUGGAUGGCUUGAGUUUGGGAGAGGGAUGCGGAAUUCCAGGUGAAGCGGUGAAAUGCGUAGAUAUCUGGAGGAACACCGGUGGCGAAGGCGGCAUCCUGGACCAACACUGACGCUGAGGAGCGAAAGCCAGGGGAGCAAACGGG
rnacentral:rRNA from 1 species